rnacentral:rRNA from 1 species
GUAGGUGGCAAGCGCUGUCCGGAAUUAUUGGGCGUAAAGCGCGCGCAGGCGGUUCUUUAAGUCUGAUGUGAAAGCCCACGGCUCAACCGUGGAGGGUCAUUGGAAACUGGAGAACUUGAGUACAGAAGAGGAAAGCGGAAUUCCACGUGUAGCGGUGAAAUGCGUAGAGAUGUGGAGGAACACCAGUGGCGAAGGCGGCUUUCUGGUCUGUAACUGACGCUGAGGCGCGAAAGCGUGGGGGGAGCAAACAGGAUUAGAUACCCUGGUAGUCCACGCCGUAAACGAUGAGUGCUAAGUGUUAGGGGGUUUCCGCCCCCCCCCUUAGUGCUGCAGCUAACGCAUUAAGCACUCCGCCCUGGGGAUACGGCCGCAAGGCUG